CACAAGCAGCGGAGCAUGUGGUUUAAUUCGAAGCAACGCGAAGAACCUUACCUAGACUUGACAUCUCCUGAAUUACCCGUAACUGGGAAGCUCUUCGGAGCAGGAAGACAGGUGGUGCAUGGUUGUCGUCAGCUCGUGUCGUGAGAUGUUGGGUUAAGUCCCGCAACGAGCGCAACCCUUGCCAUUAGUUGCUACGAAAGGGCACUCUAAUGGGACUGCCGGUGACAAACCGGAGGAAGGUGGGGAUGACGUCAAGUCCUCAUGGCCCUUAUAGGUGGGGCUACACACGUCAUACAAUGGCCGGUACAGAGGGUAGCCAACCCGCGAGGGGGAGCCAAUCCCACAAAGCCGGUCGUAGUCCGGAUCGCAGUCUGCAACUCGACUGCGUGAAGUCGGAAUCGCUAGUAAUCGCGGAUCAGCAUGUCGCGGUGAAUACGUUCCCGGGUCUU
rnacentral:rRNA from 2 species